GAUGAACGCUGGCGGCGUGCCUAAUACAUGCAAGUCGAGCGAACGGACGAGAAGCUUGCUUCUCUGAUGUUAGCGGCGGACGGGUGAGUAACACGUGGAUAACCUACCUAUAAGACUGGGAUAACUUCGGGAAACCGGAGCUAAUACCGGAUAAUAUUUUGAACCGCAUGGUUCAAAAGUGAAAGACGGUCUUGCUGUCCCUUAUAGAUGGAUCCGCGCUGCAUUAGCUAGUUGGUAAGGUAACGGCUUACCAAGGCAACGAUGCAUAGCCGACCUGAGAGGGUGAUCGGCCCCACUGGAACUGAGACAAGGUCCAGACUCCUACGGGAGGCAGCAGUAGGGAAUCUUCCGCAGUGGGCGAAAGCCUGACGGAGCAACGCCGCGUGAGUGAUGAAGGUCUUCGGAUCGUAAAACUCUGUUAGUAGGGAAGAACAUAUGUGUAAGUAACUGUGCACAUCUUGACGGUACCUAAUCAGAAAGCCACGGCUAACUACGUG
rnacentral:rRNA from 1 species